GACGAACGCUGGCGGCGUGCUUAACACAUGCAAGUCGAACGGACAGGCCCUGCUUUUGCGGGUUGCUCGAGUGGCGAACGCGUGAGUAACACGUGUGUAACCUGCCCUUGACUUUGUGAUAUCUUCAGGAAACUGCGGCUAAUACCCGAUAUGAGCUCCUGCUGCAUGUUGGGCGUUGGUAAGUUUCGGCGGUUGUGGCUGGACUCGCGGCUUAUCAGCUUGUUGGUGGGGUAGUGGCUUACCAAGGCUUUGACGGGUAGCCGGCCUGAGAGGGGUAACGGCGACAAGGGGACUGAGAUACGGCGCAGAAUCCUACGGGAGGCAGCAGUGGGGAAUAUUGCACAGUGGGCGGAAGCCUGAGGCAGCAACGCCGCGUGCGGGAUGACGGCCUUCGGGUUGUGAACCGCUUUGGCCUGUGACGAAGCGGGAGUGACGGUAAUGGGUAAAGAAGCACCGGCUAACUACGUG
rnacentral:rRNA from 1 species